UAGGGAAUAUUGCUCAAUGGGCGAAAGCCUGAAGCAGCAACGCCGCGUGGAGGAUGACACUUUUCGGAGCGUAAACUCCUUUUCUUAGGGAAGAACAAUGACGGUACCUAGGGAAUAAGCACCGGCUAACUCCGUGCCAGCAGCCGCGGUAAUACGGAAGGUCCGGGCGUUAUCCGGAUUUAUUGGGUUUAAAGGGUGCGCAGGCGGCGCGAAAAGUCAGCGGUCAAAGUUCCGGGCUCAACCCGGUGACGCCGUUGAAACUUUCGUGCUGGAGUUCGUGCGAGGGAGGCGGAAUGCGUUGUGUAGCGGUGAAAUGCAUAGAUAUGACGCAGAACCCCCGAUUGCGAAGGCAGCUUUCCAGCACGCGACUGACGCUGAGGCACGAAAGCGUGGGGGAGCGAACA
rnacentral:rRNA from 1 species